GUGUUUCUUUUGGCUCUGCUCAGGGUG
rnacentral:piRNA from 1 species